rnacentral:rRNA from 1 species
UACGUAGGGCGCAAGCGUUGUCCGGAAUUAUUGGGCGUAAAGAGCUCGUAGGCGGUUUGUCGCGUCUGCUGUGAAAUCCCGAGGCUCAACCUCGGGCUUGCAGUGGGUACGGGCAGACUAGAGUGCGGUAGGGGAGACUGGAAUUCCUGGUGUAGCGGUGAAAUGCGCAGAUAUCAGGAAGAACACCCGUGGCUAAGGCGGCUCUCUAGUACGGUACUGACGCUGAAGACGCGAAAGCCGUGGGGAGCGAAGCAGG